AAAACUAAAAUAACUAAUGUAACUCCUUGAUUUUACUUAUCGUUAAUUUAUUUUUUAUUUCAGUUAUGAAAAUAAAAAUCAAACUUCUGGGAAAAGAGGAAGACCCAAAAAGAAUAAAUCACUAUCUGAUGAUAAUGAACAAAUAAGAAAGAAAACUAAUGCAAAAAGAGGAAGACCUUCUAAAGGUAGUCAUGAAGAGUUAA